GAUGAACGCUAGCGGGAGGCUUAACACAUGCAAGUCGAGGGGUAAAUGGUAGCAAUACUAUGAGACCGGCGGACGGGUGCGUAACGCGUAUGCAACAUACCUUGUGCAGGGGGAUAGCCCGUGGAAACGCGGAUUAAUAUUCCAUAGUCCAGCUAUAUCGCAUGGUAUAGUUGGUAAAGAUUUAUCGGCACAAGUUUGGCAUGCGUCUGAUUAGCUUGUUGGUAGGGUAACGGCCUACCAAGGCUACGAUCAGUAGGGGUUCUGAGAGGAUUAACCCCCCACACUGGUACUGAGACACGGACCAGACUCCUACGGGAGGCAGCAGUGAGGAAUAUUGGUCAAUGGGCGGAAGCCUGAACCAGCCAUCCCGCGUGAAGGAAGACAGCCUUACGGGUUGUAAACUUCUUUUCUGUCAGAAGAAUAAGCUUGUCGAGACGAGUGAUGCCGUAUGACAGGAAUAAGCAUCGGCUAACUCCGUGCCAGCAGCCGCGGUAAACG
rnacentral:rRNA from 1 species